rnacentral:piRNA from 2 species
UGUAUUUUGAUUCCAGAUGUGU